AACGUAGGAGGCUAGCGUUAUCCGGAUUUAUUGGGCGUAAAGCGCGUGCAGGCGGUCUGGUAAGUUGGAUGUGAAAGCUCCUGGCUUAACUGGGAGAGGUCGUUCAAUACUGUCAGACUAGAGAAUGGGAGAGGGAGGUGGAAUUCCGGGUGUAGUGGUGAAAUGCGUAGAUAUCCGGAGGAACACCAGUGGCGAAAGCGGCCUCCUAGACCACUUCUGACGCUAAGACG
rnacentral:rRNA from 1 species